rfam:Clostridium kluyveri DSM 555, complete genome.
UAUUGAUAAUAGCACACUUAUCGAAAGGUAGGGUCGCAAAGCUAUGGGUCUUAAGAAAAUUAUUUUUCUAUGAUUGCCAGGUUGCCAAA